GACGAACGCUGGCGGCGUGCUUAACACAUGCAAGUCGAACGGAAAGGCCCUUCGGGGUACUCGAGUGGCGAACGGGUGAGUAACACGUGGGUGAUCUGCCCUGCACUUUGGGAUAAGCCUGGGAAACUGGGUCUAAUACCGAAUAGGACCACGCGCUUCAUGGUGUGUGGUGGAAAGCUUUUGCGGUGUGGGAUGGGCCCGCGGCCUAUCAGCGUGUUGGUGGGGUAAUGGCCUACCAAGGCGACGACGGGUAGCCGGCCUGAGAGGGUGACCGGCCACACUGGGACUGAGAUACGGCCCAGACUCCUACGGGAGGCAGCAGUGGGGAAUAUUGCACAAUGGGCGCAAGCCUGAUGCAGCGACGCCGCGUGAGGGAUGACGGCCUUCGGGUUGUAAACCUCUUUCACCAGGGACGAAGCGUAAGUGACGGUACCUGGAGAAGAAGCACCGGCCAACUACGUG
rnacentral:rRNA from 1 species